UACGAAGGGGGCUAGCGUUGUUCGGAAUUACUGGGCGUAAAGCGCGCGCAGGCGGUCCUUCAAGUCAGAGGUGAAAGCCCAGAGCUCAACUCUGGAACGGCCUUUGAGACUAGAGGACUUGGGUACGGGAGAGGUGAGUGGAAUUCCGAGUGUAGAGGUGAAAUUCGUAGAUAUUCGGAAGAACACCAGUGGCGAAGGCGGCUCACUGGCCCGUUACCGACGCUCAGCGCGACAGCGUGGGAGCAAACAGG
rnacentral:rRNA from 1 species